rnacentral:miRNA from 1 species
CCCAAUGUUAUGGUUGCCUGCCUGCGCGCGGGCGAGGCAUUGUAUAGUUGUAUUAUUUCCUAGGAAAUAAUACAACUAUACUAAUAUAGGAAAUAAUACAACUAUAAUAGGAAACUAAAUACAACUAUACAAUGCCUCGCCCGCGCGCAGGCAGGCAGGCAACCAUAACAUUGGG